rnacentral:snRNA from 1 species
AUACUCACUUCAGCAGCACAUAUACUAAAAUUGGAAUGAUAAAGGGAUUAGCAUGGCCCCUGUGCAAGGAUGACAUGUAAAUUUGUGAAACGUUCCAUAUUAAA